rnacentral:misc_RNA from 1 species
GAUGAAGAACGCAGCGAAAUGCGAUAAGUAGUGUGAAUUGCAGAAUUCAGUGAAUCAUCGAAUCUUUGAACGCACAUUGCGCCCCUCGGUAUUCCGUGGGGCAUGCCUGUUCGAGCGUCAUUUAACCCCUCAAGCCUAGCUUGGUAUUGGGUGCUUGUCCCGCCUCUCGCGCGGCGACUCACCUCAAAGUCAUUGGCAGCCCGCAUCUCGCCGGCUGUGAGCGCAGCACAGACGCGCUCUUGGCAACGACGGAUCGGCUCUCCAAAAGCUUAUUUCAACCACUGACCUCGGAUCAGGUAGGGAUACCCGCUGAACUUAAGCAUAUCAAUAAGCGGAGGA